AUAAAGUUUUAUUCUAGCUUAAUAAUUAGGUUUUAUUUUUAUUUUAUAUGUAAGGUUUUAAUUUUAUUUAAAUAAUUCGUUAGCAGUAUAACAUUUUAAAUAUUAAAGAGAUUUAGAUUUGGAAAUAAUAUUAAAAAUUGACAAAAUUUGUGCCAGCAGUUGCGGUUACACAGAUAAUUUAAUUUAAUUUUUUUAGAUUUAUUAAAUUUUAAAUUUAUUUUUAUAAUAUUUGAAUUUAUUAGGUGAAAUUUUAAAUUUAAAUUAGUAUAAUUAAUUUUAAAUGAUAUAAGAAAUCUUAAUUUAAAACUAGGAUUAGAUACCCUAUUAUUUAAGGUGUAAAUUUUUUAUUCUUAAUUAGUAAUAGUUAUGUUCUUGAAAAUUAAAGAUUUUGGCGGUAUUUUAGUCUAUUCAGAGGAACCUGUUCUAUAAUUGAUAGUCCACGAUUUUAAAUAUUUAUGUUAUUAAUUUGUAUAUCGUCGUAGUUUGAAUAUUUUAUUAGAAUUUAAAUAUUCAAAAAUUUUUAUUAAAAAAUAAAUCAGAUCAAGGUGCAGUUUAUACAUAAAAAGAAAUGGGUUACAUUAAAUUUAUUUUUGGAAAAUUAAUUUUAAAUUUAAAAUGAAAUUGGAUUUGAUAGUAAUAUUAAUAAUUUAAUUAAUAUGAUUAAAGCUCUAAAAUAUGCACAUAUCGCCCGUCGCUUUCACUAUAAAGUGAAAUAAGUCGUAACAAAGUAGGCUUACUGGAAAGUGUGCCUAGAAAGAU
rnacentral:ncRNA from 1 species